rnacentral:rRNA from 1 species
UACGGAGGGUGCUAGCGUUGUUCGGAAUCACUGGGCGUAAAGGGUGCGUAGGCGGUCGGGUAAGUCUGACGUGAAAUCCCGCAGCUCAACUGCGGAACUGCGUCGGAUACUAUUCGGCUUGAGGAAUGGAGGGGAGACUGGAAUUCUCGGUGUAGCAGUGAAAUGCGUAGAUAUCGAGAGGAACACCAGUGGCGAAGGCGAGUCUCUGGACAUUUCCUGACGCUGAGGCACGAAAGCCAGGGGAGCAAACGGG